rnacentral:rRNA from 1 species
AAUAUCNUGGGUGGCAGCAAUGAGGAAUCUUGGACAAUGGGCGAGAGCNUGAUCCAGCAUGCCGGGUGCAGGAAGANUNCUAUGGGUUGUAAAUUGCUUUUGUAGGNGAAGAANCACUCCGAGGNGUNGGAGUGCCGGUAGCGUAAGAAUAAGGAUCGUCUAACUCCGCGCCAGCAGCCGCGGUAAUACGGAGGAUCCUAUCGUUAUCCGGAAUCAUUGGAUUUAAAGGGUCCGUAGGCGGAAUUCUAAGUCAGAGGUGAAAGUCUGCAGCUUAAAAGUAGAAUUGCCAUUGAUACUGGNGGUCUUGAAUGAAUGGGAAGGAAUUAGAAUAUGUAGGGUAGCGGUGAAAGAUUUAGCUAGGACAUGGAAUANCAAUUGCGAAGGCAGAUCACUAACAGUAUAUUGACGGUGAGGGACGAAAGGANGGGAAGCNAACAGGAUUAGAUACCNUGCUAGUCCACACCGUAAACGAUGGAUAGUAGGGGUUGCNCCNUCAGUNUCAGUGGNUAAGCGAAAGUGAUAAUNCCNCCC